rfam:Cycloclasticus sp. symbiont of Bathymodiolus heckerae isolate specimen P Ga0097674_1122, whole genome shotgun sequence.
UUUAGCUUGUAGUUAUUCACAAUAAAGAUUAAAAUUGCCGGUUUUCUACUGGCUAAAAUAACGGAGAGAAUUAAUGGCACGUAUUGCUGGUAUUAAUGUACCUGAU